UGGCGACCGGCGCACGGGUGAGUAACGCGUAUGCAACUUACCUAUCAGAGGGGGAUAGCCCGGCGAAAGUCGGAUUAAUACCCCAUAAAACAGGGGUCCCGCAUGGGAAUAUCUGUUAAAGAUUCAUCGCUGAUAGAUAGGCAUGCGUUCCAUUAGGCAGUUGGCGGGGUAACGGCCCACCAAACCGACGAUGGAUAGGGGUUCUGAGAGGAAGGUCCCCCACAUUGGUACUGAGACACGGACCAA
rnacentral:rRNA from 1 species